rnacentral:rRNA from 1 species
UACGUAGGGUGCAAGCGUUGUCCGGAAUUAUUGGGCGUAAAGAGCUCGUAGGCGGUCUGUCGCGUCUGCUGUGAAAACUCGGGGCUUAACCCCGGGCCUGCAGUGGGUACGGGCAGACUAGAGUGCGGUAGGGGAGAUCGGAAUUCCUGGUGUAGCGGUGAAAUGCGCAGAUAUCAGGAGGAACACCGGUGGCGAAGGCGGAUCUCUGGGCCGUAACUGACGCUGAGGAGCGAAAGCAUGGGGAGCGAACAGG